UUCCUACGGGAGGCAGCAGUGGGGAAUAUUGCACAAUGGGCGAAAGCCUGAUGCAGCGACGCCGCGUGGGGGAUGACGGUCUUCGGAUUGUAAACCCCUUUCAGUAGGGACGAAGCGCAAGUGACGGUACCUGCAGAAGAAGCACCGGCCAACUACGUGCCAGCAGCCGCGGUAAUACGUAGGGUGCGAGCGUUGUCCGGAAUUACUGGGCGUAAAGAGCUCGUAGGCGGUUUGUCGCGUCGUCCGUGAAAACUCGGAGCUUAACUCCGAGCUUGCGGGCGAUACGGGCAGACUUGAGUACUACAGGGGAGACUGGAAUUCCUGGUGUAGCGGUGAAAUGCGCAGAUAUCAGGAGGAACACCGGUGGCGAAGGCGGGUCUCUGGGUAGUAACUGACGCUGAGGAGCGAAAGCAUGGGUAGCGAACAGGAUUAGAUACCCUGGUAGUCCAUGCCGUAAACGGUGGGCGCUAGGUGUGGGGUCCUUCCACGGAUUCCGUGCCGUAGCUAACGCAUUAAGCGCCCCGCCUGGGGAGUACGGCCGCAAGGCUAAAACUCAAAGGAAUUGACGGGGGCCCGCACAAGCGGCGGAGCAUGUGGAUUAAUUCGAUGCAACGCGAAGAACCUUACCUAGGCUUGACAUAUACAGGACGACGGCAGAGAUGUCGUUUCCCUUGUGGCUUGUAUACAGGUGGUGCAUGGUUGUCGUCAGCUC
rnacentral:rRNA from 1 species